rnacentral:tRNA from 1 species
UGUAAGAAAGACUAAGGGAUAGUCUU